UCUUCGUAGGUGAACCUGCGGAGGGAUCAUUAUUGAAUGUUGGGAUUUGUGUUCUUGAAACAUUAGAACACGCCCACACUCUUUACCCACACACACUUGUGAACCUUUUUCUAACAUCUCUUUCGGGAGGUGUUGAAAAAACUCUAGUGAUUUUAAAACAGUCUAGGAUGUCAAUCCAAUUGAUAAAUUUAAAAACAACUAUAAACGGUGGAUCUCUUGGCUCUCGCAUCGAUGAAGAACGCAGC
rnacentral:misc_RNA from 1 species